UAGGGAAUCUUCGGCAAUGGACGAAAGUCUGACCGAGCAACGCCGCGUGAGUGAAGAAGGUUUUCGGAUCGUAAAACUCUGUUGGUAGAGAAGAACGUUGGUGAGAGUGGAAAGCUCAUCAAGUGACGGUAACUACCCAGAAAGGGACGGCUAACUACGUGCCAGCAGCCGCGGUAAUACGUAGGUCCCGAGCGUUGUCCGGAUUUAUUGGGCGUAAAGCGAGCGCAGGUGGUUUAUUAAGUCUGGUGUAAAAGGCAGUGGCUCAACCAUUGUAUGCAUUGGAAACUGGUAGACUUGAGUGCAGGAGAGGAGAGUGGAAUUCCAUGUGUAGCGGUGAAAUGCGUAGAUAUAUGGAGGAACACCGGUGGCGAAAGCGGCUCUCUGGCCUGUAACUGACACUGAGGCUCGAAAGCGUGGGGAGCAAACAGGAUUAGAUACCCUGG
rnacentral:rRNA from 1 species